rnacentral:rRNA from 1 species
UACAGAGGUCCCAAGCGUUGUUCGGAUUCACUGGGCGUAAAGGGUGCGUAGGUGGUGAGGUAAGUCGGAUGUGAAAUCUCCAAGCUCAACUUGGAAACUGCAUUGGAAAACUACCUUGCUAGAGGAUUUGAGGGGGGAUUGGAAUACUUGGUGUAGCAGUGAAAUGCGUAGAUAUCAAGUGGAACACCAGUGGCGAAGGCGAAUCCCUGGAAAAUACCUGACACUGAGGCACGAAAGCUAGGGGAGCAAACAGG